rnacentral:rRNA from 1 species
ACGGGAGGCAGCAGUGGGGAAUAUUGCACAAUGGGGGAAACCCUGAUGCAGCGACGCCGCGUGAACGAUGAAGUAUUUCGGUAUGUAAAGUUCUAUCAGCAGGGAAGAUAAUGACGGUACCUGACUAAGAAGCUCCGGCUAACUACGUGCCAGCAGCCGCGGUAAUACGUAGGGAGCGAGCGUUAUCCGGAUUCAUUGGGCGUAAAGCGCGCGUAGGCGGAUGCCUAAGCGGAACCUCUAACCCGAGGGCUCAACCCCCGGCCGGGUUCCGAACUGGGCGUCUCGAGUGCGGUAGGGGCAAGUGGAAUUCCAUGUGUAGCGGUGGAAUGCGCAGAUAUAUGGAAGAACACCGAUGGCGAAGGCAGCUUGCUGGGCCGUCACUGACGCUGAGGUGCGAAAGCGUGGGUAGCGAACAGGAUUAGAUACCCUGGUA